AUGGAGAGACUUGUUAAUGUUCAUUACAUUGACAAGGAGGCAUUCUUGAGUAACAAUGCCGACACGGGUGAGGAACCAUUGGUUUUUGAUACAAGCCCUAGCUAUGAGGAUGUUGUUGCAAAAGUGAGACAAGUCUUGAAGUGGAUGGACACCAAUGUUGAUGUUAAGUUAAUAGGAAGGUAUGAUGUUGGAGUUGGAGCCAAAUCUCGCUUGAAAAGUAUGCCUAUCACCUCGGAUUUGCAUUGGGAUGUAUACAAGGAAAAAGUAUCCCAAUCAGAAGACAAGUCACUUGAAUUGUUUGCCACCAAGGUUGAAUCUCCUCGGUUUACCUUUGAUUUGAACCGGCAUGUCUCUUCCCCAAUGGAUGACAUGAGCGUUGAGUUGUAUGCCCCCAAUGCUUCUAGCCAACCACCAACUAGCCAA
rnacentral:rRNA from 1 species